GAAUGAGUUGAUUGUGCAUCUUAUUCAUGUAAAUACUUCCUCUUUAUUUAUAUUUUUCUUGCUCCUUAAGCUUGUUCAUGUGGAGAUUGAGAGAAGAGGCAAAAUGAAGGUAGAGGGUUGAGAAAUGAACACGUGUUUGUGGGUUUCUUGUGUUUCAUAUUAUUUUUUUAUAGAAGCCCAGAGAUGAUGCGAGAGUGCGAGACAGAUCAACCGAUCGAGUAAGCGAUGAUGUGAACGUGCCACAGCAUAAUGAGGACACUGACGUCUGACAGUCACACUACUUUAAUGAAGACGCUUGUUUUUAAAGUUACCGCUCUAUCUCUUCUUAAUUUCCCUCUCUUCAUUGAUUUUAAAAUUUAAAAUGAUAAAGGCUGCCAAGGUCUGUACCAAUUGGAAAGAGAAAAUUAUAUCUCUUCCAAAUUUCAGAUUUUCGAUCGUACUGCUCACUCAUGCUCAAUCCCUAUCUUUUCUUAUUUUCCUAUCUCUCCUUUUCACUUCAUCACUUCUCUGCGUGAAGAACAGUCUUCUUCAUCUUCUGCACCCAUUCGGAAAACGAAAAUCAAUCGGUUGUUCUUCUUCCUCGGUCGUCUACAACGAAUCAAGGUUCUUAUUCUUGAAGUAUGAGAAGCUCUCUUAUUUGGUACUGGGGUGAACAUGGGUCGGGUAGAUCUAAUGAAUCCAUCCGACCCAAUCCGAUCAAAUAGAAAAAAUGCAGGUUAGAUCAGAAUAUGGCGUAAAGCUGGAGAACAAUGCUCAAUUGGUUUCUGAAAAACCUAUGUUUUUUUUUUGAAAAGCCUGUGUUGUUGAUGACUGAGGAGAAGUUUUUCUUCCAAUGAAUGAUUUCAUUUACUUGAAGGGACAAUUUCUUAUAGGUAUUUUGAUUGUGAGCUCUUAUGUUUGUUAAUGGUUCUCUAAAAUUUUCUAAUUGGAACAAGUUUACCCAUGACUGAACUAAGAUCCUCAUCUAUCUUUCAAUGGAGGCAGUGACUGUUCAAUAAAUGUUGAAGAUUGUGAUAUAUGGCAGGUCUGAUCUUGAUGGUCAAAGAUUUUAUGAUACCUUUCAGAAGUUCUUUAUUGCAAUUUAUAUUAAUACUUAAAUUGGUUUGGCUUAGUGGGUGGAUUGUUAAUUGCUCCCUCAUUUGAUAUUUGCUUCCUUUUACUGUACAAAUGGUGUACUCCUUGAGUGAAUAAGUUGUAGAUGUUUAGUUUUCAUAUUGGGAUUUUGUAUUGUCUGAUUACUGAUGUAUGUAAGAAGAUAGGUACAUUGUCUAUGCUUCUUAAUUUAGUGAUUUAUUGAUCCUGUCUUAUACUUAGAACAAUCACAUAUUCUUAGGACAAUUUGAUCUUGAAGUCAAGAGUCAGUCCACCACAAGUGACUAUAACUUUAGUGUGUCUUUAACUAAUCUCUCUAAUGUACUCCCUCCGUUCCUAAAUAUAAGACAUAUUCUAAAAAAUUACGCUUAUUAAGAAAGCAUUUAAUGUGACUAAUUAUUGUAUUGAUUUUUUAAAAAUGCAUACAUUCUUCCAUAUUUACCCUUUGUCAUUUUCUCUCACUAAUAAUCAUUGCAUUUAUAUCAAAAGUCAUAGUUAGUUGCAUUAGUAGUAAUUAAUGGUAGGUGGUAACUUUGGAAUUGAAAACAUACAAUUAAUGUGAGGGGUAAAUAUGGAAGAAUACAAAACCUUAUGCUAGAUUAUUGUAAGAGGUCUUAUAUUUAGGAACAUGAAAAUUUUGAAACUAGGUCUUAUAAUUAGGAACGGAGGGAGUAGUAUUUUCUUUUCAAUUAUUUGUGUUAAAAUUUGGCAGCACAGAUCUUAAUUCAAUAAACGAAGAGAUGAAAAAUAUAAUGUCCAUUCAUGUAGCUAAUUCAUUGGUUGAAAAACAUUUAGUUGAACACAAUCGCAAUUAGUUAUCUUUGUUCUUUGUUUCUAUGUUUUUGUCUCUUGACUUUUUUACAUUGUUUUUUUUCAUUUGGAGUGAUGCAAUUCUGGAUUUGUUUCUCUUGCUAAAGUAUGAUGAAAAAUGAGGUUCCUUUUAUUUCUAAUUGCUAUUUGCUUUCUUUAUUGGCUCAGGUGACUUAAGGUUCUUUUUGGUAACAAACGGAAAAAAGGAACCUAAGUGAUAUAUGCAGCUUAUCAGGAUGCUGUAUUUUGGAGUCGCAUGAGAUAAGCUUAUUUCUACCUACAAGUUGUUACUCUUAGUUUAGCUUCAUUAGUUACGUCUAGCAACU